AGAUUUUCUGUUGUGCUUGAUCUAACCAUGUGCUUGCGAGGUAUGAGAAAAACAUGGUUCCGUCAAGCACCAUGGAACGUCA
rfam:Mus musculus chromosome 5, GRC primary reference assembly.